rnacentral:rRNA from 3 species
ACGGGAGGCAGCAGUGGGGGAUAUUGCACAAUGGGCGCAAGCCUGAUGCAGCAAUGCCGCGUGAGGGAAGAAGGUCUUCGGAUUGUAAACCUCUGUCCUUGGUGACGAAACAAAUGACGGUAGCCAAGGAGGAAGCCACGGCUAACUACGUGCCAGCAGCCGCGGUAAUACGUAGGUGGCGAGCGUUAUCCGGAAUUACUGGGUUUAAAGGGAGCGCAGGCGGAAAAGCAAGUCAGCGGUGAAAUGUAUGGGCUUAACCCGUAAAUUGCCGUUGAAACUGUUUUCCUUGAGUGAAGUAGAGGCAGGCGGAAUUCCGAGUGUAGCGGUGAAAUGCGUAGAUAUUCGGAGGAACACCAGUGGCGAAGGCGGCCUGCUGGGCUUUUACUGACGCUGAGGCUCGAAAGUGUGGGGAGCAAACAGGAUUAGAUACCCUGGUA